AGUGAACGCUGGCGAUAGGCCUAACACAUGCAAGUCGAACGGCAGCACAGUAAGAGCUUGCUCUUACGGGUGGCGAGUGGCGGGCGGGUGAGGAAUACAUCGGAAUCUACUUUUUCGUGGGGGAUAACGUAGGGAAACUUACGCUAAUACCGCAUACGACCUACGGGUGAAAGCAGGGGAUCUUCGGACCUUUCGCGAUUGAAUGAGCCGAUGUCGGAUUUGCUAGUUGGCGGGGUAAAGGCCCACCAAGGCGACGAUCCGUAGCUGGUCUGAGAGGAUGAGCAGCCACACUGGAACUGAGACACGGUCCAGACUCCUACGGGAGGCAGCAGUGGGGAAUAUUGGACAAUGGGCGCAAGCCUGAUCCAGCCAUACCGCGUGGGUGAAGAAGGCCUUCGGGUUGUAAAGCCCUUUUGUUGGGAAAGAAAAGCAGCAGGUUAAUACCCCGCUGUUCUGACGGUACCCAAAGAAUAAGCACCGGCUAACUUCGUG
rnacentral:rRNA from 1 species